UACGGAGGGGGCGAGCGUUGUUCGGAAUUACUGGGCGUAAAGGGCGCGUAGGCGGCCGGCCAAGUCGGGUGUGAAAUCCCUCGGCUCAACCGAGGAACUGCACUCGAUACUGGCUGGCUCGAGUCCGGGAGGGGAUGGUGGAAUUCCCAGUGUAGCGGUGAAAUGCGUAGAUAUUGGGAAGAACACCGGUGGCGAAGGCGACCAUCUGGACCGGAACUGACGCUGAGGCGCGAAAGCCAGGGGAGCGAAUGGG
rnacentral:rRNA from 1 species